rnacentral:rRNA from 1 species
CCAAAAAUCUAGCUUACCCCACCCCCCUCCUCCCACUACAAAAUAAAAUAUUCUAAUAUCAUAGUAGAGAAGAUCAAAAUUUUUAUUUAAGCUAUAAACAUGUACCGCAAGGGAAAGAUGAAAUAAAAAUGAAAUAAAUCUCAAGCACAAAAAAGUAGAGACUCCCCCUCGUACCUUUUGCAUCAUGAUUUAGCUAGUCUAAUUGGGCAAAAAGACCUUUAAGUCCAACCCCCCGAAACUAAGUGAGCUAAUUUAGGGCCGCUUAAUGAGCCAACCCGUCUAUGUUACAAAAUAGUGGAAAGACCCUAAAUUAGGGGUGACAGACCUAACGAACUUAGUUAUAGCUGGUUUCUCAAGAAAAGAAUCUUAGUUCCGCCUAAAGCAACACAAAUCCAAAAAAUAACCCAACCCCUUUAGAGUAAUUUAAAUAAGGUACAGCCUAUUUAAUACAGGAUCCAACCUUCACUUACGGGUAAGAUUUUUCCACUAUCACCCUCAAGUAGGCCUAACAGCAGCCACCUUUACAUAAGCGUCAAAGCUUAAUAAUGAUAAUUUAAAUCCCCCAAUCUUAUAUUGACCCCUAUAACCGUACUGAGAACUUCUAUAUUCCUAUAGAAAUUUUUAUGCUAAAACUAGUAACAAGAGGACAAACCUCUCUUAAGUGUAAACAUAAGACAGAAAGAACCACUCACUGACAAUUAACAGACCUACACAGAAGUUAACAACUACCCAAGAAAACCUUACUUCCCCAACUGUUAACCUAACACCAGAACACUUCAAGAAAGAUUAAAAGAAAAAGAAGGAACUCGGCAAAUACUAAUUCCGCCUGUUUACCAAAAACAUCGCCUCUUGCAACUAUAAGAGGUCCAGCCUGCCCAGUGACCCAGUUCAACGGCCGCGGUAUCCUAACCGUGCGAAGGUAGCGUAAUCACUUGUUUUCUAAAUAAAAACUAGUAUGAAAGGCAUCACGAGAAUUAAACUGUCUCCCUUUUCUAAUCAGUAAACCUAAUCUCCCCGUGAAGAAGCGGGGAUUAUCUAAUAAGACGAGAAGACCCUAUGGAGCUUUAAACAUACUAAUCAUAUGACCUACUUUAUCACACCCAGGUGCACAUACUCACACAUAAUGAUCAUAUGUUUUCGGUUGGGGUGACCGCGGAGAAUAAACCAUCCUCCGCGAUGAUAAGGGCCCCCCCCCAAACAACAAGCCACAGCUUUAUGUAUCAACAAAUUGACACCAUUGACCCAAUAUAUUGAUUAACGAACCAAGUUACCCUAGGGAUCACAGCGCAAUCCACUUCAAGAGUCCCUAUCGACAAGUGGGCUUACGACCUCGAUGUUGGAUCAGGGUAUCCUAGUGGGGCAGCCCCUACUAAAGGUUCGUUUGUUCAACGAUUAAAACCCUACGUGAUCUGAGUUCAGACCGGAGCAAUCCAGGUCAGUUUCUAUCUAUUCUAAGGCUUUUUUUAGUACGAAAGGACCAAAAA